AUGGAUCGACCUCUCCCGGUCCAUCAACUCUCACGAUUCAUCACCAUCUCUCAACACUUUCAUGAAAUCCUCCUUGGUUUCGAUCGACGAUUGCGAUUUCCGAUACGGCAGCAACGAAAUCAAAUCGACAGAGACAAUGACACUCUCAAGUGGUUCUGUUUUAAAGUUGUGUUGAAAACUUCUGAUGUCGCUUGGCGUGAUUUUGAGGAAGUUAAUACGAGAUCACGCCUCUGUGCCUUUCUUCUCAAUGGAGCUAACACAGUCUAA